GAUGAACGCUGGCGGCGUGCCUAAUACAUGCAAGUCGAGCGAACGGACGAGAAGCUUGCUUCUCUGAUGUUAGCGGCGGACGGGUGAGUAACACGUGGAUAACCUACCUAUAAGACUGGGAUAACUUCGGGAAACCGGAGCUAAUACCGGAUAAUAUUUUGAACCGCAUGGUUCAAAAGUGAAAGACGGUCUUGCUGUCACUUAUAGAUGGAUCCGCGCUGCAUUAGCUAGUUGGUAAGGUAACGGCUUACCAAGGCAACGAUGCAUAGCCGACCUGAGAGGGUGAUCGGCCACACUGGAACUGAGACACGGUCCAGACUCCUACGGGAGGCAGCAGUAGGGAAUCUUCCGCAAUGGGCGAAAGCCUGACGGAGCAACGCCGCGUGAGUGAUGAAGGUCUUCGGAUCGUAAAACUCUGUUAUUAGGGAAGAACAUAUGUGUAAGUAACUGUGCACAUCUUGACGGUACCUAAUCAGAAAGCCACGGCUAACUACGUGCCAGCAGCCGCGGUAAUACGUAGGUGGCAAGCGUUAUCCGGAAUUAUUGGGCGUAAAGCGCGCGUAGGCGGUUUUUUAAGUCUGAUGUGAAAGCCCACGGCUCAACCGUGGAGGGUCAUUGGAAACUGGAAAACUUGAGUGCAGAAGAGGAAAGUGGAAUUCCAUGUGUAGCGGUGAAAUGCGCAGAGAUAUGGAGGAACACCAGUGGCGAAGGCGACUUUCUGGUCUGUAACUGACGCUGAUGUGCGAAAGCGUGGGGAUCAAACAGGAUUAGAUACCCUGGUAGUCCACGCCGUAAACGAUGAGUGCUAAGUGUUAGGGGGUUUCCGCCCCUUAGUGCUGCAGCUAACGCAUUAAGCACUCCGCCUGGGGAGUACGACCGCAAGGUUGAAACUCAAAGGAAUUGACGGGGACUCGCACAAGCGGUGGAGCAUGUGGUUUAAUUCGAAGCAACGCGAAGAACCUUACCAAAUCUUGACAUCCUUUGACAACUCUAGAGAUAGAGCUUUCCCCUUCGGGGGACAAAGUGACAGGUGGUGCAUGGUUGUCGUCAGCUCGUGUCGUGAGAUGUUGGGUUAAGUCCCGCAACGAGCGCAACCCUUAAGCUUAGUUGCCAUCAUUAAGUUGGGCACUCUAAGUUGACUGCCGGUGACAAACCGGAGGAAGGUGGGGAUGACGUCAAAUCAUCAUGCCCCUUAUGAUUUGGGCUACACACGUGCUACAAUGGACAAUACAAAGGGCAGCGAAACCGUGAGGUCAAGCAAAUCCCAUAAAGUUGUUCUCAGUUCGGAUUGUAGUCUGCAACUCGACUACAUGAAGCUGGAAUCGCUAGUAAUCGUAGAUCAGCAUGCUACGGUGAAUACGUUCCCGGGUCU
rnacentral:rRNA from 1 species